GUAGGUGGCAAGCGUUGUCCGGAAUUAUUGGGCGUAAAGCGCGCGCAGGCGGUUCUUUAAGUCUGAUGUGAAAGCCCACGGCUCAACCGUGGAGGGUCAUUGGAAACUGGAGAACUUGAGUACAGAAGAGGAAGGCGGAAUUCCACGUGUAGCGGUGAAAUGCGUAGAGAUGUGGAGGAACACCAGUGGCGAAGGCGGCUUUCUGGUCUGUAACUGACGCUGAGGCGCGAAAGCGUGGGGAGCAAACAGGGAUUAGAUACCCUGGUAGUCCACGCCGUAAACGAUGAGUGCUAAGUGUUAGGGGGGUUUCCGCCCCCUUAGUGCUGCAGCUAACGCAUUAAGCACUCCGCCUGGGGAGUACGGCCGCAAGGCUG
rnacentral:rRNA from 1 species